rnacentral:rRNA from 1 species
CACGUAUGGGACGAGCGUUGUCCGGAAUCAUUGGGCGUAAAGAGCGUGUAGGCGGCUCGAUAAGUCUGCUGUGAAAGUCCAGGGCUCAACCCUGGAAGGCCGGUGGAAACUGUCGGGCUAGAGUCCGGAAGAGGCGAGUGGAAUUCCCGGUGUAGCGGUGAAAUGCGCAGAUAUCGGGAGGAACACCAAUGGCGAAGGCAGCUCGCUGGGACGGUACUGACGCUGAGACGCGAAAGCGUGGGGAGCAAACAGG